UCCUCGAUGGUCUAACGGUCAUGAUUUCCGCUUGUCAGAUUACAGUAUGCAAUCACAAGCGCGGGAGACCUGGGUUCGACUCCCAGUCGGGGAG
rfam:Aspergillus calidoustus genome assembly, contig: SCAF2